AACGAACGCUGGCGGCAGGCCUAACACAUGCAAGUCGAACGAAGAGGCCCCUUCGGGGGUACUUCAGUGGCGCACGGGUGAGGAACACGUGGGUACCUGCCCAUCGGUACGGAAUAACCGCGGGAAACUGCGGCUAAUACCGUAUACGCCCUACGGGGGAAAGAUUUAUCGCCAUUGGAUGAACCCGCGUCGGAUUAGCUUGUUGGUGGGUAAUGGCCUACCAAGGCGACGAUCCGUAGCUGGUCCGAGAGGAUGAUCAGCCACACUGGGACUGAGACACGGCCCAGACUCCUACAGGAGGCAGCAGUGGGGAAUAUUGCACAAUGGGCGCAAGCCUGAUGCAGCCAUGCCGCGUGAGUGAAGAAGGCCCUAGGGUUGUAAAACUCUUUCACCGGUGAAGAUAAUGACGGUAGCCGGAGAAGAAGCCCCGGCUAACUCCGUG
rnacentral:rRNA from 1 species